rnacentral:rRNA from 1 species
UACAGGGGGGGCAAGCGUUGUUCGGAAUUACUGGGCGUAAAGGGCUCGUAGGCGGCCAACUAAGUCAGACGUGAAAUCCCUCGGCUUAACCGGGGAACUGCAUCUGAUACUGGAUGGCUUGAGUUCGGGAGAGGGAUGUGGAAUUCCAGGUGUAGCGGUGAAAUGCGUAGAUAUCUGGAGGAACACCGGUGGCGAAGGCGGCAUCCUGGACCGACACUGACGCUGAGGAGCGAAAGCCAGGGGAGCAAACGGG